rnacentral:tRNA from 1 species
GGAGGUGUGGCUCAAGUGAUAGAGCACUUGCUUAACAAGAACAAGGCCCUGAGUUCAAAUCUCUGAACCCCCA